CCGCGCUUUUUGUUGUCUGCAUUUUUGUUGUCUUGCUGAUUGGUGCAGUUCUUUGUCUUUGCUACGUUUCAAUGAAUAAAUAGGAACUUUUCCACUUUAUAGAAAUUUUGCAAUUCUAAUUGUAUUAUAUAUAGACACAAGUAUUUUAAAUUUGUCCAUAGAAAACUAAUUGAUUGAUGUUAUCAUAAAUGGCAGUAAGACGUUCAACUCGUUUAAGCAGCAUUGGUGUUAAAUCGGAUCUGCCAACAUUAGAGACUAAAAGUACCCGCAGAAGUAGCAUAUGGGGCCACCGUCAGACACGUAAUUCUAUACAUAGUGACGAAGAGGAAGACGAACGUUCCUCCAAUUGCAGCAACGAGGAGAAUUGCAAUCGUACCAAUAAAAUGGAUAAUAGGAGGAGAAGUCUUAAACCCAACAGCAAAUUCUUAGACUACGUUACUGAUGAACCCAAGACAUCCAAGAGUAGAAAUUCUCUUAGGCCUAUGCCAGCAUCAAAGAAAAGAGAAAUGCUCAAAAGACUACAGGCCGAAGAAGACUCAGAAUCAGAAAAAGAAAAGCGGGAGACCAAUGAAUCCUCACCUCCAAAACAGCCUCGACAGCAGCAGCCCAAGGCCUUGCCCAAACAUGUGAUUAGCCCAUCACGUUUACUGGAUAGAUUAAGCAUUGACGAAAGACCAGAUGAAUUAUCAGAUGCCUCCUCUGGAGAAAGUCAAUCCCAUAAAAAGAUAAAUAAAAAGAAAAGUCCUCCCAAAGAUUCCGCUCAGCCUCAAACAUCACCUGUACGCAACAAGUAUCAAAAUGCCAGAAAGGUAUUGAAUAGUGCUGAAUGUCAAAAGCUUCCGGGUCGCGAGGAACAGCUGGAAGAGUUAAAAGCCUUCUUCAGAGAGCAUUUGGAAAAUAAGAAAUCAGGCAGUUUAUAUGUCUCUGGCCAGCCGGGGACGGGGAAAACUGCAUGCCUUUCGUUGUUGUUAAGAUCGCCCGAAUUUAAUAACCGCAUACAAAAAGUCUACAUCAAUUGCACAUCUAUAGCAUCAAUAGGCGGAGUGUAUAAAAAGCUUUGUGCUGAACUUAAUCUCAAGCCACAAGGACGUACCGAAAGAGAUCAUCUAAUGUCCAUAACACAUCAUCUAAAGACUUCAACGCGUAUGCUGCUUAUAGUACUAGAUGAAAUUGAUCAGUUGUGCAGCUCAAAGCAGUCGGUGCUCUAUACCAUAUUCGAAUGGCCUUCUCUACCCGAUGCUCGGAUAAUUCUGGUUGGCAUUGCCAACAGUUUGGACUUGACGGAAAGAACCCUCUUGCGUUUGAAUGCUAGAUGUGAGUUGAAGCCAAAGCAUAUGCACUUUCCUCCCUAUACCAAGCAACAAAUUGUGGAUAUAUUCAAAUCGCGUCUGGAAGAGGCUGAAGUUUUGGAUAUAUUUCCGCCAGUGACGCUGCAACUUCUUGCUGCAAAAGUAAGUGCGGUGAGUGGAGAUGUACGCAGAGCCUUGGAUAUAGGCAGACGUGUGGUGGAAAUUGCCGAGCAGCAAAAGAAAGCCGGCGAAAGGGAGGUAAAGCUACAGAACCUAAACAAUAUUGUAGGUGAAGCCGAGAGUACCCAAGAGCAGCAAGAAGAAGUCCUCAAGCCAGUGCAGGUGACACAGGUGGCUGCAGUGCUCAAUAAGGUCUAUGGAGCCUCUCAGAACCUACAAGAAGACAUUGAGGAGUCUUUUCCUUUGCAGCAGAAAAUCAUGUUAUGCACUCUAAUGUUGAUGUUGCGCAACGAAAAGAACAAAGACAUCACCAUGGGACGCCUGCACGAAGUUUAUAGGCGUGUAUGCAACAAGCGCAAUAUCCAUCCUUUGGAUCAGGCCGAAUUCGCUGGCACUGUGGAUCUAGUGCAAACACGAGGCAUAUUGCGCAUCAUCAAGAAAAAAGAACCCCGCCUCAGUAAAGUUCAAUUGCAGUGGGAUGAGGAUGAAGUGAAUGGUGCCUUAAGUGAUAAGCAACUAAUAGCUUCGAUACUAGACGACACUGCCUGCUUGGCCAAGUGAGCUAGAAAAGAAAACAGAAACAAAACAAAGAACUAUAUACAAUCUCAUCAAAUUAGCCAUUUUUACCAUAUUGAUGAGUGUUUUAGUGGCACUCUGCAGUUAAUUUUAGAAAAAUCCAAUACACCUUUAUGACUGAAUUGCAUUUCUUAGCGCACUCACCGCCCACACCCAACCUACCCCCUAAUUACUUUGUUCGUGUUUAUGUAUAUCGAAUUGUUUUUCAAUUUAUUUUUAAAUUGGAUUGAAGUGACUGCAAAACAACGUCUUUUUUUCGAUAUUAUCACCAAGUAUUGUUCAACCUUGAACUGAAAACGUCAUGCAAUUCGAGCAUUUCCCUUUUGGUAGUUUUGAUUUUUUGUUUUUGGUACUUAAAGUUUGUUUUGCUAUGAAAAAUUGCUAAAUCAUCUGAAGCUAAUUGAAAUGCAAUGAUAUACAUAGUUAUUUAUAAAUACACACACACACCUUUAUUAAUAAGAUAUCUAUUUUUUUUUUUAAUGACAAGACAUUUUUGUUUUAACAUUUUCACUUUGAAUUUUUCUUUAAGUUUAUAACUUGUUUCUUCCUGUAUUGUCUUCGCUAUUUCCCUACCCAACAUUGUUUACAUUUAAUAUGGUUUUACUUUUUUCUUUUGAUAUUAAAUGACGAAGAAAGAAACAAAAAUAAGAAAAUCAUAAGGAAAGAAAAUGUUGUUGGCUAAAAUUACUUCGAAAAGGAAGGAUUCGAUGUAGAAUUAAUCUGAAGAGGAAGAACUUCAAAUAGAAUCACUCUUUAAGAAGAAUUUCACCUAUUUUCAAGAUUUGUCAAGCCUAUAGAGGUACUU